GAUGAACGCUGGCGGCGUGCCUAAUACAUGCAAGUCGAGCGAACGGACGAGAAGCUUGCUUCUCUGAUGUUAGCGGCGGACGGGUGAGUAACACGUGGAUAACCUACCUAUAAGACUGGGAUAACUUCGGGAAACCGGAGCUAAUACCGGAUGAUAUUUUGAACCGCAUGGUUCAAAAGUGAAAGACGGUCUUGCUGUCACUUAUAGAUGGAUCCGCGCUGCAUUAGCUAGUUGGUAGGGUAACGGCUUACCAAGGCAACGAUGCAUAUCCGACCUGAGAGGGGGAUCGGAAAAACGGGAAGUGAGAAACGGAAAAGAAACCAAGGGGAGGCAGAAGAAGGGAAACUACAGAAAGGGGCGAAAGAGUGAGGGAGAAACGCCGCGUGAGUGAUGAAGGGCUUCGGAUCGUAAAACUCUGUUAUUAGGGAAGAAAAUAGGGGUAAGUAACGGUGAAAAUCUGGAGGGUACCUAAUCAGAAAGCCACGGCUAACUACGU
rnacentral:rRNA from 1 species